CAUGCUAGUCGCACGAGUUCAGACUCGUGGCGAAUAGCUCAGUAACACGUGGCCAAACUACCCUUCGGAACACAAUACCCUCGGGAAACUGAGGCUAAUAGUGUAUAUCGUACCACCACUGGAAUGAGUGGUACGCCAAACGCUCCGGCGCCGAAGGAUGUGGCUGCGGCCGAUUAGGUAGACGGUGGGGUAACGGCCCACCGUGCCAAUAAUCGGUAUGGGUCAUGAGAGUGAGAACCCAGAGACGGAAUCUGAGACAAGAUUCCGGGCCCUACGGGGCGCAGCAGGCGCGAAACCUUUACACUGCACGACAGUGCGAUAGGGGGAUCCCAAGUGCACAGGCAUAGCGCCUGUGCUUUUCGGUACCCUAAGGCGGUACCAGAAUAAGGGCUGGGCAAGACCGGUGCCAGCCGCCGCGGUAAUACCGGCAGCCCAAGUGAUGGCCGAUCUUAUUGGGCCUAAAGCGUCCGUAGCUGGCCGCGCAAGUCCAUCGGGAAAUCCACCUGCUCAACAGGUGGGCGCCCGGUAGAAACUGCGUGGCUUGGGACCGGAAGGCGCGACGGGUACGUCCGGGGUAGGAGUGAAAUCCCGUAAUCCUGGACGGACCGCCGAUGGCGAAAGCACGUCGCGAGAACGG
rnacentral:rRNA from 2 species